GCCUUGACCUCCCUGGGCUCAGGUGAUCCUACCACCUCAGCAUCCCGAGUAGCUGAGACUACACUACAGGCUUGCACCGUCACACCUGAUUAAUUUUUGCUUUUUUUUGCAGAAACAGAGUCUUGCUAUGUUGCCCAAGCUGGCCUCAAACUCCUGGACUCAUCUCAGCCUCCCAAAGUGUUAGGAUUAUAGGCAUAAGCCACUGUGCCCAGUCUAUUUGAAUAUUAUUAACUUUAUGUUUUUAAUGUGCAGAUUGGUUUGGCUUUUAUUGGUUUGCAUUUUAUUGAUUUUAAAAGUGUCUAUAGCCAUAAGGAAUUUAUAGCUUGUUUAUGUUUAAGUAAUACUGUGUUUAUAUUACAUUCAAGAAACACUGUGGUAGAAAUAAUUUGUCAACACUGGGUGCCGUAUAUUUUUUUCUUGUAAAGCGGACCACCCAUUAAGUUGCAGAGAUGCUGUGCCAGGUCUUUGGAAGAAAUAGGUGUGAAUAAAUUGUGUCCAGCACCCACAUUUGUAUUGUAAUCAGUUAUGAAUUCCGGUUUGCAUGGAGACUUUUGUAAAUACUUCUUUGUGACUAGGAAUAGAGUUGUGGCAAAAGUUCCUGUUUCAUAAUUCACCUUUCUUCAUACCAACCUGUAUAGAAAAAUAGGGUUUAAAGAAAUCAGCUAGAGCAGCCCAUUUUCAACACCCUGAGUGAUGCAAGGCCAUGUUAGACCCUACCAAAGAUUACUCCUCAUCCUCGGGGCACACAAGGAGAGGAGCGAAGGACUGAGAGGACCACUGUCAGCUUCUGCAAGGUCUCAGCAAGAUCAUUAUCCACAGAGGCACAUAUCUCUAGGAAAGACUGUCCUUCAAAUCGGGUCAUGGAAGGUUGCUAGCAGGCUGUGGUCCGUGAACUCACAGAAACUAUAAACCAUCCGUGAAGGAGGAAUGAGUCCAUCUGAAAAGUACCAAAGGGAAAAGUAAGACAAAGACAUGGAGCAGCCGCAAGGGGAUGAGAUGGAUGAAGGGGAGGAAGAAGAGAAGAAAGCCAGACCUCAGCCCCAAAGUAAGGCUCUUUGGUGUGGAAGUAUAGAGUUUCUAAAUACAUGGCACAAAUUCAUCUAAAUGAGCAGAACAUGGCUGUACAAAUGUUUACUGUAUUUGUGAAAAUUAUACUUGUUGAAAGUGAAUUAUUCACAUUCAAAACCAAUAUUUCAAGGCUUGUGGCUAAACUAUUAUCCGUGAAAGGCAUGGCUUAUGUGUUACAUUCUGGUUUUGCUUUUCUGUUUCACUUUUAUCUGUUCUACAGACGAAGGCAAUGGUGCAAAAAGGAGUUUACCAGAAAUGAGUAUUGAGUAACAGUCUCAUCUUAAAAUACUUUUGCAACUUGUUAUGCAAAAUCACAGUUGCAGAAAAAUUGGUUUCCAUCAAGAGCUAUUAAGUGGAUCAACUACAUUAUCUCUAGAUCAGAUUUUUUUAAAAACCCAUUCCCCUUCACAGAGCACUUUUGUUCUAUUUGUAUACAUUAGAGCAACCAGUACAUAUCAAACUUCAGGCCUCUUACAAGUAAGUAAAUACAUCAAAGGAAAGUUUUUACUUGAAAUUUGGAUUAAAAUAAAUAUGCAAUAGUGUCAAUUCAGGCAUUGUAGGCAAGAACAUAAUUUAACAAAUACGAAAACAAUGCAGUAUUUCACCACGUGUUUUCUACCCCUAUUGGUGUAUCAUGCUUGGAAAAAGAAAGAAUCUUAGUAAAUAACAAGAAAUUUGCUUUUCUAUGAGAGUUAUCUGUUGCAUUCUUUUCUCUUUUUAGUAUUUUUUCUAAAAAUACUAAAUAACAGGAUUUUAAAAAGUCCUGUUUAAUAAUAGGAUUAAAAAAUCAUUUGCUUUGGAAAGUCAUUAUUUUCAGGUUUUUUUGUUUUUGUUUUUGUUUUUUGAGACAAGGUCUCAUUCCAUUGCCCAGGCUGGAUUGCAGUGGUGCAAUAAUGGCUCAGUGCAGCCUCGACUUACUGGGCUUAGGUGAUUCUCCCACCUCAGCCUUCCAAGUAGCUGGGACUACAGGAACCAGCCAUAGCACCUGGCUAAUUUCUUCGUAUUUUUUAUAGAAAUGGGUGUUUGCCAUGUUGCCUAAGCUAGCUUUGAAUUUCUGGGCUCAAGCAAUCUACUUGUUUUUGCCUUCCAAAGUGCUGGGAUUCCAGGCAAGAGCCACAGCACCUGGCCUUUUCUCUGGUCUCUAGCAUUGUUCUUGAAUUAUGAAUGGUGAAGAACCCGAAUUUUUGUGGGUUGGACACUAGUAUUUGAAUCUGAGGUUUUCUGCUUGCUGUUGCCUGGACAGUGGACAGGAGGCUAUCGGGUUCAGUCUAUUCCUUUCUUUUAAAUAGGGUUGAGUUGUGCACAUCUUAUAAAUUUGUGAUGAGAAUUAAAUAACAUAUGACAAUGUGAACACAGUGCUUGGCACAUUGUAACCAAACAAUAGUAUUGGUGAUCUUUGAUAUUGGCAUCAGCAUUAUUAGGUUUAUAUUUUUUAAUGAUCUGGUGUUUGCUAAAAAUUGCACUUUUCAAACAAGCUUCAAGGGACAGAAACAGAAACUGUGUUCUCUGGUAUAUGAAUAAUGAUGACUUGUUUGCAACACUGGAACUUUUGCAGAUUUCAUCACAUAUCUAGAAGUAAUUUAAGAUAUGCUUAUUAUAUACUGAAAUAUCUAAAACUUUAACUUAUUAUAUAUUGAAAUAUUUAAAACUUUAACUAUUAACCUGAUUUUACUUUGUAAAUUCUCAUGUAUGGAAUAAAGAAAAUGUGGUAUAUA